UGGAGGGAUUAAUGACCUUAUAAAAGAGACUCCAGAAAGCUAGCUUGUCCUAUUUCUGCCAUGUGAGGACACAACAAGACAGUAGUCAUGUGCAGCCCAGAAGAGGGUCCGCACCAGAACCCAACCAUGCUGGGACCCUGAUCUCAAACUGGCAACCUGCAGAACUCUAAGAAAUGCCUCCUGUUUAUAAGCCACCAGUUUAUGGGACUUUGUUAUAAGCAGCCCAAGCUAAGGCAUAUGGGCAAUGAAAAUAUCAGAAUUGUUUGAAACUUUAAUCUAUUGUAAUAACUCCUUUCACAUUGUGUAUAAUACGUCGGUUUAACAAUAUGUAAUAAAAUUUUAAAACAAGGCAUCUAUUCCAAGAAUUAAUUAAUUAUAUUAAUUGAACAGACACUUACUAAUUCAUUCAACAAAUUGCUGAACACCUGAUAUGUGCCAGAUAUUUUUCUAGGUGCUGGAGAUACAGCAGUGAAAACAAAGAGCAAACCCUGACCCUUGUGAAGUGAAUUGUCAGGAGCUCAGCUGAGCUGGGAGAGAGAGAGCUCUCAGAGUAGCCGGUUACAGCAACAAGCCAGAGAUAAAAGAACCGAGCCUUUAAUCACUCACGGCAAUGGUAAAAGCAAGAGCUUAAAGCAGUUUUAUGGACCCUGAAGCAGGAGGGCAGCGGCGAGAGCUUGGAGUGGACAAGUCCUGGGUGAUGAGUCAGAGUAGGGGAAUGUAUCAUCAAGGUCUCCCUCCUCCCCGCAUAAGGAGGUCUUGGCAAAGGCAUCUGAAAAGGACGUCUACCCAAGGUCUGCCAGAGACUAGCAAUGAAGACUCUGGGGCCAGGAAUGUAAACAUAGGAAAAGCAUGACUGACCGGGAGAGCCUGAGUCCUUGACUGCAACUUCCUUCAGAGACCGUGACCCACUGGCUGUGCACCAAAUGUCUCUCAGAGAGCAGCAGCUUUCUGUAUGAGGUCUGCCAGGGUCUCACUCUGUUACCCAGCCUGGAGUGCAGUAGUAUGAUUAUAGCUCCCGGCAACCUCGAACUCCUCGGCUCAGUUUCUGACAUUGGAAUUGCGGCAGUAAAGCCUUAUCACGCUAUGGUGAUCUUCAGACUAGCAUGUGAGUGGAAAUCUGGCUUUAAGUGUGGAAUCUGGACAUAAGGUCCCAGGUAGGGCUUUUUGUCUACCUCUAAGAGGCAGAAGUGUAAGCACAUAAAUCCAAACUUGCAGCCACAAUCAUAAAUCUUUACGAGAAAUUGGGCUUUGCUCAUGAAGUUGGUAAGGAGACCCUCUUGUCCCGUGCUUUUGUAUUCUCCUCUCCCAUCACAGCAAGUGUCUUGGGAAUGAAGGAAGGGGUUUUAGUUUAGUGUUUUGCAUUCCUCUGUUUGUUUCUUUGCAGAUAAAAUGUGUCUUUUUAUGGGCUUCCCAGUUGUAAAAGAAAUUCCAAUAAUUUAAGUUCUGGGUGUUUCAGGUUUUACAGUUCCGACUGUUUCCCCUCUACUUAGAGUAUAUAUUUCCGAAUACUAUGAUACACUCCCCUGUGCCUCAUUUCUUAUACAGAUGAUAGCCACUGAUAUUGAGUGGCCUCUGAAUAAACAGUGCAGUCAUAUUUUGCACUAAUUUGAAUUAGCAAAUUCGAAACAGUGAGAGAUGAAAAAUAUUAUUAAAGUCUCACUUUAUGCACACAAGUUGAAAUAAUGUA